AUUGAACGCUGGCGGCAUGCCUUACACAUGCAAGUCGAACGGUAACAGGUCUUCGGAUGCUGACGAGUGGCGAACGGGUGAGUAAUACAUCGGAACGUGCCUAGUAGUGGGGGAUAACUACUCGAAAGAGUGGCUAAUACCGCAUGAGAUCUACGGAUGAAAGCAGGGGAUCGCAAGACCUUGUGCUACUAGAGCGGCCGAUGGCAGAUUAGGUAGUUGGUGGGAUAAAAGCUUACCAAGCCGACGAUUUGUAGCUGGUCUGAGAGGACGAUCAGCCACACUGGGACUGAGAAACGGCCCAGACUCCUACGGGAGGCAGCAGUGGGGAAUUUUGGACAAUGGGCGCAAGCCUGAUUCAGCAAUGCCGCGUGCAGGAUGAAGGCCGUCGGGUUGUAAACUGCUUUUGUACGGAACGAAAAGCCCCGGGUUAAUACCCUGGGGUCAUGACGGUACCGUAAGAAUAAGCACCGGCUAACUACGUGCCAGCCGCCGCAGUAA
rnacentral:rRNA from 1 species